AUCGAACGCUGGCGGCAGGCCUAACACAUGCAAGUCGAACGAGUGGCGGACGGGUGAGUAAUGUCUGGGAAACUGCCUGAUGGACGGGGUUAACUACUGGAAACGGUAGCUAAUACCGCAUACCAUCAGAUGUGCCCAGGUGGGAUUAGCUAGUUGGUGGGGUAACGGCUCACAAAGGCGACGAGCCCUAGCUGGUCUGCGAGGAUGACCGGCCAAACUGGGAAUGAGACACGGUCAAGACUCCUACGGGAGGCAGCAGUAGGGAAUAUUGCACAAGGGACGCAAGCCUGAUGCAGCCAUGCCGCGUGUAUGAAGAAGGCCUUCGGGUUGUAAAGUACUUUCAGCAGGGAGGCGUUAACAGCACAAGAAGCAGCGGCUAACUCCGUGCCAGCCGCCGCGGUAAUUC
rnacentral:rRNA from 1 species